AUUACUCUGUGUGUGGAGGGUACUGGGCAUUGGACACAGGUCUGCAUUCGGAUCUUAAUUUUAUUUCAUUAUUUUCAUUAAGUUGCUUGGGCUGCCUGGGCUUGAACUUGCACUCCUCCUGCCCUGUCGUCACCUGGGCCUUGACAGGUGCUAAGUCCUGGGGCUCUGGCUGCUUUUGCUGUGACUCUCCUGUGUUUUAUUGUGAAUCAAGGAGUCUUUUUUUUCCACCAGCAUCUGUGAAGCGGGCAAGCUACCGUCCCUGCUCGCACCUGGCUCGGUGAUGGCCGCUGCUGGUGCUUGAAGCUGCUGCAGCGGUGCCAGGACUCCGAGGCUAGGAGAGACCUGAGAUGAUCCUUGUAGGGCCGUCCAGGGUGACACCACGGAUACUGAAGAAGCUGCUGCUGGUGUGAUUGCUCGGGCCUUCCAUCUCUGCUUCGGGAAUACGGGGUCUGGCCCUGCUUCUGGGCCAUCUUCUGAACAGAAGGGCUGCUGAAUAAAUACGACCUUAAGUGUA